GUGUCGAUGAAGAGCGCAGCCAACUGUGUGAAUUAAUGUGGAUCGCAGACUGCUUUGAACAUCGACCUCUUGAACGCACAUUGCGGCCGUAGGCUUGCCUACGGCCACGUCUGGCCGAGGGUCGGCU
rnacentral:rRNA from 1 species